GAAGUGCUGUCGUCACAGCAGAGGACAGGAUACGGUGAUAAGGGAAGAGGGACCCCUCCCUGCCUGCCUCGGUUUCCUGAGAAGAGCCUGGCUGUCUGCCACCAAAACCCCACCCUGAACCCAGCACCCCCACCCCAAACUCUGAACCACUGAGCAGAGAGAUGAUGGGAAGAAGCGAAGAGACUUGGAGAAGUUGGAUGUACCCUCCUGCAGUCCAGGGUGCAAAGUGUCUUCAUAUGCUGGAUUAAAUAAUUCAAACACACAUGCUUUAAAUCACCCUGCACAUUCUGUUUCUCUGUGCAGGCUGCUCGCCGCGGCCCUCGCCCUUGUUUUGCUAAACCUCGCUGUUCAUUGAGGCGGAGACUAAUUAGAAACAGCCCAAUGAAAUUCCAGCUGUCAUUUCUACACUCAUCCGUCCUCUUUGCAAAAACUGUUACGUAACCGGGGGCCCGACGCUCCAAACAGAUGCUGGAGCUCGUUUCUGUCUUUGUCCCACUCACAGAUCCGCCUCCCAUGUUUCCACCAAUCCUUACGUAAGCUUUGUUUAUCCUCCGCCUGAAUUUUUCAGCAGAAAAACGACAGGUUGAAGAAGAAACACUCAGCUCCAAGUGCUGCUUAAUGUUCCUCUUCCCUCCUAAAACGACACUUCAUCUCAUGAUGCUGCCUGCAGCUGAAGUCUGCUCGGCAACAGAGCGGCGCUGCACGGUAACCAGGACAGAUGUGCUAUUUACUUCACUCUGAGCUGACACACUUUUGAACUCAUGACUGACAUACUGAGUGAAAUUAUUCAUACACUGGGUAGAGGAUAAACGGCUGUAUGUU